GAGUGAAGCGGCUUUCUUCUCCUAUUAAUAACAUAAAUAAUUCGUAUCACAAGUAAAGUGAUGACACCAAUAGCUAAUAGAACUGCGAUAUUUGAUGAUGCCAUAGUGGAGAUGCAAAAAUCCCCCUUCUCCAUUACAAGAAGCUCUGCACCUCAGCUGCUGUCUAUUGAAAUCGGCCGACGAAAAAAUCAAUCGGAAUUCAGCGCAAA
rnacentral:misc_RNA from 1 species